CGCAGGCCUCACGCGAGAGGGAGACGAGACGCAGCUGCAAUAACGACGUGAGCAGCCGUCUCUGUCGCCGCCGUCGCCGUAUCCGUCGCCGUCGGACGCCUGAUUCCGCUUCUUCCUAGGGCAAGCUGGCCAUCUGCCCUGAGGAAAAUAUAUAUGGCCGCAAGUAGCAAAUUUAACUUGGUGCCAGCUGCAAGGGGAAGGAAAGUUGCACUUGGAGAAAAAAUGGAUUCGCGAAAGAUUACCAAAUGGGAUUCUCCAAAUGAUCUGAAAUCCAGAGCCCAAUGGAAUCUAGAACUUGAAAAGGCUUUGGUGGAGAUACUUCUUCAUCAUAAUACUCCUUAUCACCGAGGCGGAACGAAUGGAAUGGUGAAAUUUGGAAUCUGAUGGUUGGAAUAUUCCAUGCUAGAAAUAGUUAUGUCAAAUUCUCAAAGUCCCAUGUUCAAGAGAAGGAAAAGGAAUUGAAGAGAGACUAUAAAAUGCUAAAGGAGGCACGUAAACAAAGUGGAGUUGAUUGGGAUGAAAUUAGCUGCAUGAUACAAGCUGAUGAACAUCUUUGGGAUGAGUUGAUGAUUUCAUUUGGUUGAAGGAUCAAUAAAUUCAAGUCCAAACAUUUUCCUCUCUUCAACUUAUUAGGAAAUCUCUAUGAUGCCAAGGAGCAAGUUUGCUCCCAAGAGUGCGAAGUAAAGGCGAGCGAAAUGAUCAAAAUUUAUGAACUUCUGCCGUGAACUGAUAUGAGGAACUGUUAUGAAAUGUUCUCACGAUUAUCUUUAUUUAGCCCAGAUGAUAUAUUAUUGUUUUAUUUGAUCCAAAGUCAUCGAAAAUGAUUGUGUUGUUGUUAAGAAAAUGGGUGAUGGUGUUGCAUCCUGAUGCUUGCUAGCCUUUGAUGUUCUUUGUUCAUAUGACAAUGAGGCUUGGGACGGUA